UACGUAGGCAGCAAGCGUUGUUCGGAGUUACUGGGCGUAAAGGGUGUGUAGGCGGCUUUUUAAGUUUGGUGUGAAAGCCCCCGGCUCAACUGGGGAGGGUCAUCGGUAACGGUCGUGCUGCGAGUGCAGGAGAGGGAUGUGGAACUCCGGGAGUAGCGGUGAAAUGCGUAGAGACCCGGAGGAACACCAGUGGCGAAGGCGGCUUCCUGGUCUGCGACUGACGCUGUGGCGCGAAAGCUAGGGGAGCAAACGGG
rnacentral:rRNA from 1 species